AGUGAACGCUGGCGGUAGGCCUAACACAUGCAAGUCGAACGGCAGCACAGUAAGAGCUUGCUCUUACGGGUGGCGAGUGGCGGACGGGUGAGGAAUACAUCGGAAUCUACUUUUUCGUGGGGGAUAACGUAGGGAAACUUACGCUAAUACCGCAUACGACCUACGGGUGAAAGCAGGGGAUCUUCGGACCUUGCGCGAUUGAAUGAGCCGAUGUCGGAUUAGCUAGUUGGCGGGGUAAAGGCCCACCAAGGCGACGAUCCGUAGCUGGUCUGAGAGGAUGAUCAGCCACACCGGAACUGAGACACGGUCCAGACUCCUACGGGAGGCAGCAGUGGGGAAUAUUGGACAAUGGGCGCAAGCCUGAUCCAGCCAUACCGCGUGGGUGAAGAAGGCCUUCGGGUUGUAAAGCCCUUUUGUUGGGAAAGAAAAGCAGCAGGUUAAUACCCCGCUGUUCUGACGGUACCCAAAGAAUAAGCACCGGCUAACUUUGUG
rnacentral:rRNA from 1 species